GAUGAACGCUGGCGGCGUGCCUAAUACAUGCAAGUCGAGCGAACGGACGAGAAGCUUGCUUCUCUGAUGUUAGCGGCGGACGGGUGAGUAACACGUGGAUAACCUACCUAUAAGACUGGGAUAACUUCGGGAAACCGGAGCUAAUACCGGAUAAUAUUUUGAACCGCAUGGUUCAAAAGUGAAAGACGGUCUUGCUGUCACUUAUAGAUGGAUCCGCGCUGCAUUAGCUAGUUGGUAAGGUAACGGCUUACCAAGGCAACGAUGCAUAGCCGACCUGAGAGGGUGAUCGGCCACACUGGAACUGAGACACGGUCCAGAAUCCUAAGGGAGGCAGCAGUAGGGAAUCUUCCGCAAUGGGCGAAAGCCUGACGGAGCAACGCCGCGUGAGUGAUGAAGGUCUUCGGAUCGUAAAACUAUGUUAUUAGGGAAGAACAUAUGUGUAAGUAACUGUGCACAUCUUGACGGUACCUAAGCAGAAAGCCAAGGCUAAAUACGU
rnacentral:rRNA from 1 species